rnacentral:tRNA from 1 species
GCCAGUGUGACGAAAUUGGUAGACGUAGCGGAUUCAAAAUCCGCCGCCCUUAAAAGCGUGUCGGUUCGAGUCCGACCACUGGCACCAACU